CACGUAGUUAGCCGAUGCUUAUUCUUCAGGUACACGUCAUUUUAUCCCUCCCUGAAAAAAGAGGUUUACAACCCAUAGGCCGUCAUCCCUCACGCGGCAUGGCUGGAUCAGGCUUUCGCCCAUUGUCCAAUAUUCCCCA
rnacentral:rRNA from 1 species